AUCUUUUUCUGGCUCACAAGCAUGAUGAUUGGUUGUUCGCUGUUUGUGUAACAUAUGCCUCCCUUAAAUCUUGUUAUAUAUUUGGCACAUUACUCAUCUGAUU